rnacentral:rRNA from 1 species
GCAUAUCAAUAAGCGGAGGAAAAGAAACUAACAAGGAUUCCCCUAGUAACGGCGAGUGAAGCGGGAAGAGCUCAAAUUUGAAAUCUGGUAGCCUUCGGUUGCCCGAGUUGUAAUCUAGAGAAAUGUUUUCCGUGCCGGCCCAUGUACAAGUCCCUUGGAACAGGGCGUCAUAGAGGGUGAGAAUCCCGUCCUUGACAUGGACCCCCGGUGCUUUGUGAUACAUUUUCAACGAGUCGAGUUGUUUGGGAAUGCAGCUCAAAAUGGGUGGUGAAUUCCAUCUAAAGCUAAAUAUUGGCGAGAGACCGAUAGCGAACAAGUACCGUGAGGGAAAGAUGAAAAGCACUUUGGAAAGAGAGUUAAACAGUACGUGAAAUUGUUGAAAGGGAAACGAUUGAAGUCAGUCAUGCUCUUUGGUAUUUAUAUCAUUGAGUGGGGUCAACAUCAGUUUUGAUCGAUGGAUAAAGGCACUAGGAAGGUAGCACUCUCGGGUGAACUUAUAGCCUAGCGUCAUAUACAUUGAUUGGGACUGAGGAACGCAGCAUGCCUUUAUGGCCGGGAUUCAUCCACGUACAUGCUUAGGAUGUUGACAUAAUGGCUUUAAACGACCCGUCUUGAAACACGGACC